UAUUUUCUUUUUUUCAUGAAGGAUUUUUCGAGCAGGGAAAGGUCGGAGACCUCCUGUUGCCAGGUAGACGGUAUAGCCCGGGGGAUUGUUUGGAGAGGAAUCUUUGUUGCAAGAUUUUCAAGGCUCCAGGGUUCGAAUAACUUCGAAAAAUAAACCGAUGACAAUCUGUGAAGUUUUUGGAAGGAAGGACGUUUUUUUUUGAGGUUUUGAGAUACAGUUCGAUCAUCGACGAUUUUUCACUCGCACUCUCGGUCUCGCAACUUUCCAUCGCAUCUAUUUCUUUGGUGAAUUGAUUCAUCGAAAUUUCAUGAAGAAAAACAGUUACUUUAGACAAUUGUAGAAACUUUUCGGAUCCAACAAAAUUACCUGAAGUGACACAUUUGGAGCUGAUAAUCAAGAAAUUUGGAGCAUGAAAUUCAAUCACAUAGUCACGGAUCCUCUCAUGUACACAAGACUCAUCCAGGCAGUGAAAAAUGCAUCAGAAAUUACUUACACAUUCGGCAACUGUUUUGGAGUUUGGUCGUUCCUGAAAAAUUACUGUAACGUUCAGCAAAAUUUGGUUGACUGUAUAGUAAAAAUUAUUCAAUCGAAAAUAAUUACCGGACCGUUGGACAAUUUUUACCAAACAGAUUAAUAAACUUCAUCAAGGAGUCGAUAAAUUGGACUGGGCGCUGUGAUAAUUUUCCACUGACCAGAACAUCACACGAUUGCCAAAUGACAAAAUCAUUUUUACUGAAUUUUUUCCUCUGUGCAGGUAUAAGAAAGUCUUUUCAAAAAUAUUUGAAAAAUGUGUACAAGCAAUCAUUUGAUCCUGACACUGUUAAAAAUUUUUUUUAAUUUCAAUUCUUUCCACUAACCAAUGGAUUUCGGUUUUACAGUCCAUUUUCUCAAUCACAAAUAGAAUAACACAAGAUUGGAAUAUUUGGAUUGUUCCCCAGGGGUGAGACUAACAUAAUUCCCCUUUCUUUUCAUCCACGUGGGUAUUUUUGUGAGCUGGAAAACACGAAACACCGAGAAAAUACCUCGUUAUUAACGAUGACUCACACGUUUGCAUUGAUCAGAAGACCAUGUGUUCUCCGAACGCUCUAUACCCUCGUUCUUUACAAUUUUUUUUGCAUUGACGGUCAUUGGUGCAUCGACUCGUCGUAAUUUAAGGGAGUGAUGAGGAUUCAACGAGUUUCGUUCUCUUGGAUGGCAUUCUCGUGAAAAAAUGCACUUUGGCAACGACAAAUUGAAAGGAAUGGAGAAAUAGGGACGAAGAUGUUGAGGGUUUAUAUUUAGAAUUUUGAAUAUAUGAACCGGGUUAUGUGGACGUCUGGCGGGCAGCAACAUUCAGCUUAUCAAAAUGCUGCAAUGUGGGCAGAAAUAACUUUUAUUCUGAUUUUUAUUCAAUUUUAUUGUGAUGCAAUUAGGAAUAGUGGCAGGCAAAUUACCCAAUGGGGAAAAAAUUAUUUACAUUACUCAAAUUUUUCAGUAAUAAAGUUCUGCUGGUAAUAUGUACUACUUUUUCGGUUUGGAAAAAAGAAAAUUAUUGAUUUUCAGGGUUUGCCGGGCAUUCAAUCGGUAGUCUAUUUUAAAAAAUGCAAAUUUGCGGGAGGUUUUAACAGUUGCAAGUCGAGGGUAUUUCUUGCUUCGCGCAAUUAACCUAGAUAAUUAGCAAAUAAACUGGUAAAUAAAAUGCUGAGCGUUUUAUAGAUGUUUCAGGGUUUUGUUAUUACUGGAUUCUCGCUGGCCUUCCAAAAUCCGUGUUUGCGCGGGAAAGAUGGUGAAUUGGUUGCCACUGAUUCACUAGUUUUCUUGGUUUAUGGGUUUUUUUAUAUCUCCAAUGAAGAAUAAUAUUUGCCAAAUUGACAAGCAUUAUAAAUUGUUUGUCUAUUUCUCAGGGUUCUUGUAGAGGCCAGCAGGGAAACAUUGAUUUCACUUCAGGAUGCUAUGGAAAUUUAUUGGAAGUUGUCCUUUCAUGAAAAUUUUGACAAUAUUACUUUUUCUAUUCCAUUUCUCUUUCUGAGUUGUUCCUGGAACGAUUUCGCAGCUAAUUCUAAUUCCAGAAAUUUUAUGGAGGAAUAGUUUUUUAAUUGAAUAGAAUAAACUGAACUCUAUAAAUAUUUGCUGAGCUUCAAGAGGAAUUGUCUUUUCUUGUGCUGAGAACGGUUUUUCACGAAUUGUUUCGGAGAAUAUUUUGGUUGUUGAGCCUCAUUAUUCAUGUUUCGGUAAAAUAGAGGACAGAAUCUGAAAUAUUGAGUGUUCGAUUGGUCACAAAGCGGUUUCAAUUUGAUUUAUGCAUUUUAAAAAUCGAUUUCAUUGGGGUUUUCCGGACUGUACAGGAUGAUGUAGCAAGUAGGAAAUGCGGAGACAGAAACCUCACGCAGCGAAUAACAAUAUUGAUUUGUUACUCAACCGACGCGAAUUCUCAGGAGCAACAUGAGUGGAAAUACUGAAAAUCCCAGUACUUCAUAGAAUCCUCUAUAAAUAAUAAUAUAGUUUGAAGAAGUGACCAUGUGGUUUGAUUUUUUUUUUCAAUCAAAGCAUUAAAACCUCUUUUGCAGCUGAUCAAGUUUUCUGUAAGAAAUAUUUUCCAUUAUCACAUUGCAGAUAAUUAACUCAAUGUGAAAGCCCAUAAAAUGGAAAAAUUGAAUUUUCUGAAAGGUUCACUCUUACAUUUUUUGAGAUUUCACAGUGACCUUUACGGAAAAAAAGUCAAAUAAUAUUCAUAUGAUGAAACACUUGAGAAAAACGUCAGUUGACACUCCCCGCCAAGAUGAUAAAAUAUUCACCGGGACGAGAAAUCUACUAGUUGCAUUUCAUCACUCUCCUCAUGACUAAUAAGAAUAGAAACCGAUGAAUCUAUGAAUGCAAUCCUCAUUAUUAUCGUCUCACAAGUGCUCUCUUCUCGCUGUCUUGACCGCGCAGCGUUCGAUUUGAGGGCCAUCUCCGAUGAAAAAUUCACUACUUGUCCUUGAAUGUAUAGAGACCCCGUAGAAGGAGAGCGUCUCUCUCAUCAAAGCACGACUAUUAUCCCUCGCGUGAGAAUAUUCACAACAUUGAAAUCGUUGUGAGGCUCAAUCGAAGCCAUUACCAUUUGGUUAACUCUAGUGCAUCGUUCCCCUUCUGAUCAUCCUACCGUGAUAACACCGGAGAGCGAAACAAUGUUAAUUAAGGAGAUCUGAAAAAACUUGGAAAUUAUCCCUUCUUAUGAAAUUUCUAAUUGAAGAUUUUUGUUGGUAAUAAUCAUCAUGCAAAUUAAUUAUUUCUGUCACUGCUGCCCACACCGAAAAGUAUAUUCUCAUUAAUGUGUGCUACCACUACUUUUAAUACUUUUAUUUACUAUUUAUCUAUUGGGACAUACUCUGGAGAACGUUAAUUAUGAAAAUGAUGAAACACCAUUCACCGAAUCCGUUUAUUAUUCAUGAACAUUGCUUAUAAAAUAGCAGAAAUGCUUGAAAUAAUUUGUAACAUCGUCUGAUUGCUUAAUAAACUCCUUCCGGUGAUCAAGUAUUGUACUGAAUUCAGAGCGUUGACAAGAGAUUUUAACAUAAAGUUUACGAUGAAAUUGAGACAAAGGCUUCUCUCAUGGCGACACCAAUUCAUUAAUUGUCAUUCAAACGAUUGCAGUCAUUAGCAUUUCUGAAUAUUCUCGACUCAAAUGCUAGAGGGCGUAGGUCACUCGUCGAUGUAGAUCACUCUAAUUCAUGAGAAACUCAAUGAUAAUUAGUAGAAAGAUCUUAAUAUACCUUCUGUCAUAACAACUGUCAUCUCUCUGCCAUCAAUCAAUUUGUAAUACAACAAUAAAUCACAGGAAAAAAUUAACCUUCUGCAAUUGUUGAUAUUAUUGAAUUAUUUAUGUUCACUGAGGAAAACCGUACAAUGAUUUUCAGUCUCUCAUUCUCAAGGUAUUUUUUUAACACCUGAAAAUUAAAUUUAACUGACCUCGAUAGUAUCAUCCACCCCAAACAUAUUUCCCCACCUUUUCUUGACAGCAGGAAGAGUAACCCAGGAAGUUAAAUGUGUAAUAUUCCCUAACUCAAGAUUCGCAGUAAAAAUAAAUUUUCUACCUUUUAAAUAAAUAAAAGUCCUGCUGUUUACAUCAUUUGCGCAGGAGAUACUGAUACUGGAAAAAUGAUCAAUUUGUUUUGAAUUUUUAAACUACACUAGAAGACAAUGAGGAAACUAAUCAAUGUCAAUAAAUGAACUUCCUUUUCAUUCCGUAGUUAAUAACAUGUUUCGAAAAAUUCUUCUGAUGUUUUUCAUUCUGUGGGAAUUUAUAACUUUGAUAAUUAGUCAGCCUCACAUUUUUUUUUCAUCGAUCUCUGAAAUACCCAAUAAUACGCCUGAAUGGCGAUUGAUCACACCCGAUUCCUUCUACGCCUGACGCGUCAUUAUGAACUCUCUUAUGACUUCAACAAUAUAGUAAUAUGCCUUGUCACGCACAGUUUGACGCCAAUAAUGCAGCCAACCACUUAGGCUUUUUUUUUUUUAUUAAUUGAUGAAAAUCGGUGAAACGUAGAUUGCUGGUGAUUAAGAUGCACUCGGAUUUUUCCGAUUCGUUUCAGCAAAAUGUAAAAAACAAGGCUGAAUUCAUUGUUUCUAGUUAUGGUUGUUAUAUUCUCUGGCUGGAUUGGAGAUCAUCAACUGAUAAAAUCCAGUUGAUACGUCAUACGACAGAAAGAAUUGACACAGCUAUGAUCUAUUGUGAUAUUGAGACAAGUGGGAUAAAGAUUUACUCCGGUUUUGGCAGUGUCGUGAUUGUUGAUGGACAAUUCAGAGAUAAAUAACGAGAUGUUUCAGAAAAAUUUCGGGACAGCUCUGUCGAAAUAACUACACGGAGAGAAAAAUUAUUGAAAAUAUACGUUCCUGCUCAGUAAUCUACUAAUUAAAAGAUUAUUCUGUAGUAAUGACUUUUACUAGGAUUUUUAUGUUUGAGAAUUUAAUAUUAAUAAGUGGAUUUUGAUACAAUAAUAAGACAAUAUGAUUUAAGCUCUGAAAUCGCGCGACAAUGAUAGACGAAUAUGUGCUACGUUGGAGGACAGUCAAAGGAGUGUCUCGUUGGCAGGUCAAGGCCCGAAUGUCCAAUUCCUCCGACUUUGUCCAUUCACCCCUGUGUGGUCCUUGGUUUGGGCCCGACGUCACUAGGGGGUGUCAAGCCCUCGUCCCUUCCCGUCGGGUCUCGGUUUUCCCUCGUCCCCGACCCAACGCAAAAUUUUCCCCGCUUUAAUUCGUAAAAAAUAGGGAACAGUUACGCACUUUUUCAGUGAACUUUUAGGAAAAAGUCCAGAACGUUCCAGAAAAAGUAUGAAAGUGGAUAAUUGUUCCGUAAUUUUGACUGGCAGAUUACGGAACCGGCACGUAAUUUUUUACCAAUUUUUCUUUUUUUGGAAAACAGCCCUUCCCUCCGAAGUUACAGAAAAAAUAUGUCAUUUUUACUGUCAGUAAAAAUGACAUUUUUUCUGUAAUUAAGUAUUAAUUACAGAAAAAUUAUUUAUUUGUAAUUAAUUAUUUCUCCAUGCAAUCUAUAUAAUCCACAUAAUCGUGUAAAACCCCAAUGUUACUAGGAAGUGCGGGUAAUCAAUACUCAGUCACAGCCUCAGGGGAUUCCCAGGAUAUCUCAUUUACGAUUUAAUUCCCCUGUUGUUGCAUUGAACCGAUUGAAUGAAUCAAAUCAUGCCAUCAGAUUAUUAAGAAAAACCUUCUUCACUAUUCGCGUACUCAGCCUGUGAAUAUCCAAUGAAUCCUUAUACUGCGUCAUCAUCCAGUAAUGCAAAUAUGGAAAACCUAUUGACCAGUCGAUAAAUUGUCAUUCGUGAAAAUAAAAAAAUAUGACAGUUCCUCUUUUAUUCUUUUUCGUUCUGCUCCGUUCCACUUCGUUUCGUGGUUUUGUUUCUUUAUUUAGGCGGUUGAGAAUAGGCCCUCGGUGUGUUAUUAUGUGGCUUAAAGUUUCUUCUCGUAUGUCAACACUAGUCAAAGACUUUUGUAGACAUAUAUGUGUACAUCCCGGAGGCCGUAGUUAUGCAAUGGAAUUAUGAGAGUUUCUCAAGUGUGUUUCUCGUCAAUGUACGCAAUCCACUGAUUCUGCUGAUGGUUCAAGGCCCCAUAGAUAGGAAACAGUGGGGCAUAAUGGACUGUCUGUCUUCAGCUGUUGAUGUCGUCUGCAAUUUUGUAGGGAAUGAAGAACAAAAAUGAUUCAUAUUUUGUUGCUGAUGUUAAAUUAAUUAACAUUUUCGUAAAUAUCGUUUGCAAAAAAUGUGCGUCUCCAAAAAAUGAGGUAAACAAAGAGAUGAUGACGUUGGCAUAAUCGUCACUAGUUCCUGAACGAACAGAAUUCGCAUGAGAUAAAGCUCUUUUUUAAACGAGAAAUAUGUUGAAAAUAAAGAAAAUGGGGAAUUUUACUGGUUCGUUGUGAAAUUAUUAAAGAUUAGAGACACACCGACUCUUGCCCCCGCCCCUGUGAAAAUAUUUUUACAUCAGGAACUUGAAAAUUGCUGCAGCUGUGGUUGAGAGACGAAAAAACUGGGUUAUAGGCAUCACGUGGCUGGCCCGUUCCCAUUACCCAAAAUAAAGUUCACGCCCGUGAGGUUUUGACAGUUGAAUACAGAUUGAUGCUCUUAAAAAAUGGAGAUUGAUUUUUUGGUUAUUUACGAAGGGGACAAAAGAAAGUUAAUGUUUCCUGCUCUAUAUCUCCUGGGUGAAUUUGACAAUUUGGGGAGAUUAUCUGAAAUUUGGGGAAGGGGGUAGAAGAUAAUUUUAUGUGCUAUAAAUGUCUAAUAAUCUCAGAAAGGCCAUAUUUUUUCUUUGGACUUCUGAGCUUUAGAAAAAAUUACCCGGCCAUUUGCUGCCCAGAGCACACGUUCACAAGAUAAAUUCUGAAUUAGAAGUUGUUCGAUCAAAAAGAAAAAAAACACUUCCUCAAUUUAAUGACUGCAGACACUUUUUUUACCCCCUCUGCAAAAAAUCGACGUGAUAUAUUUCUCUAUCUAUUGAUUGUUUCUAUAAUGAGCGAAAAAGCUUGACAACCGCACGAAUUUUGAUAAAGGAAAUACAGAUAAACAAAAAAUGUGCAGAAUGAAGUAAUAAAUGUAUGGUAUGGGAAUGUCGGAAAUAUGGUCAUGUUGAAAUCAUCUGCUCGCUAUCCAUUUACACAUUGACAUUACUUUGUUGAGUCACAUCUACCAUGACACAACCCAGUGCCUCAUUCACUGAUAAUGAAAAUGUCAGGCUUUCCCGCUCACCUGAUAUCGAAUAAUAAUUUACAUUUUUGCGUGAAAUGAAAAUAAAAUACAUUCGUCAUAGAAAUAAUCGUUUUCAAUUUAUUGAUAGGAAAACCCCUGAACAACAAAUUAUUCUUUUUUAAAAGACCAAGCCCUUGAGAUAAUUGAACUUUGAUUGUAAUGGGGUUCAUUAAAUUCCAAUGAUUUUCUCAUGAAACUAACCAU